rnacentral:rRNA from 1 species
UACGAAGGGUGCAAACGUUGCUCGGAAUUAUUGGGCGUAAAGCGCCCGUAGGCGGCAUUGCAAGUCGGAUGUGAAAUCCCUCGGCUUAACCAAGGAAGUGCAUCCGAAACUGCAGUGCUUGAGUACUUAAGAGGAUCGCGGAAUUCCCGGUGUAGAGGUGAAAUUCGUAGAUAUGACAUAGAACACCAAUUGCGAAGGCAGCUCGCUACACAUAUAUUGACUCUGAGGCACGAAAGCGUGGGGAUCAAACAGG